ACUUCCGAGGCCGCCGUCCUGCGGAGAAGGGUGGCCGCGGUCCUGCGGAGGGUGAACGCCCUGCGGACUUGCGGCCCCUGGGCCGGCGGCUUCCGACCAGCCGACCCGCAGUGUCCUAGAGUCGGAUCCCAGAGAUGAGAGCCAGCCUGUUCCGAGGGUGGAAUCUGGGGCCGGGAUGAGAGUGCCUGUCCACCGAGACCUUGAGGGCGGGAUUAUCUUCAGAUCCUCGUCGCCUUGUACAGUGCAAGAGCAGGUUUGCAUUCACCCAGGUGCGCAUGCGAUGCAGCGGUUGAAGCCGCCUCUCGGGACGCCCAUAACCCAUAUCAGACCGCUAGUUUGAGUCCCAGCUACUCUGCACCAGCAGCCCAUUCCUGCUAAUGCACCUGUGUGGGAGCAGAUGCGGGCUGAAGUACUGGGUUCCUGCCACUCGUAUAGGAGAACCACAUAGAGUUCCUGGCUCCUGGCUUCAGCCUGGCCCAGCCAUGGCUAUUGCAGGCAUCUGGGAAAUGAACCAGCAGAUGGAAGAUCUCGCUCUCUCUCUCUCUCCUCUGUCAUUCUGCCUUUCAAAUAAAUAAAUUAAAAAAAAAAAAAAAAAACUUGGACUUCUUGACAGCUCUUAUUAAUUUUCAAUUGUACAUUUACUUGUGAGAUGUGAUUACCAUACCUCCUAUACUAGAUUGUAAGGACCAUGAGGGCUUGUUCCUAGUCCAGGUAUGUUCACCAUUAGUGCCUGGUAUACAACAGGCUACAAAAACUAGCUGAAUGACUAAAUAAACACCUACUCAUUGAAUACACCUCUCUGCCAUUUGCUGAGGACAGGUCUGGGAAGCUAGGGAAUCAAUCAAUCUUAAAAAAAAAAAAAAAAAAGUAAA